rnacentral:rRNA from 1 species
ACGGCUCAGUAACACGUGGCUAACCUGCCCUUGGGACAGGGAUAACCCCGGGAAACUGGGGCUAAUACUUGAUAGGUGAGAACUCCUGGAAUGGAUUCUCGCUGAAAGGGCGUCUAGAUCAUGCUUUUAGGCGUCGCCCAAGGAGGGGGCCGCGGCCGAUCAGGUUGUUGGUGAGGUAACGGCUCACCAAGCCUUUAACCGGUACGGGCCGUGAGAGCGGUAGCCCGGAGAUGGGUACUGAGACAAGGGCCCAGGCCCUACGGGGCGCAGCAGUCGCGAAAACUCACCAAUUCACGAAAGUGUGAGUGGGCCAUCCCGAGUGCCGUCCGCUGAGGAUGGCUUUUCCUUAGUGUACAAAGCUGGGGGAAUAAGGAGAGGGCAAGUCUGGUGUCAGCCGCCGCGGUAAUACCAGCUCUCCGAGUGGUGGGGAUGUUUAUUGGGCCUAAAGCAUUCGUAGCCUGCUGGACAAGUCCUCCGUUAAAUCCAACGAUUCAAUCGUUGGGCCGCGGGGGAUACUGUUCGGCUAGGGGGCGGAAGAGGUCGACGGUAUUCUCGGGGUAGGGGUGAAAUCCUAUAAUCCCGGGAGGACCACCAGUGGCGAAGGCUGUCGGCUAGAACGCGCUCGACGGUGAGGGAUGAAAGCUGGGGGAGCGAACCGGAUUAGAUACCCGGGUAGUCCCAGCUGUAAACGAUGCAGGCUAGGUGUUGGCGCGGCUACGUGCCGCUCCAGUGCCGCAGGGAAGCCGUUAAGCCUGCCGCCUGGGAAGUACGGCCGCAAGGCUGAAACUUAAAGGAAUUGGCGGGGGAGCACCACAAGGGGUGAAGCUUGCGGUUUAAUUGGAUUCAACGCCGGG